CAAAAUCAAGAGUUGACCACUUCACCGACUGAGCCACUGGGGUGCCCCCAAAAUCUGAAUUUUUAAAAGCGUCCUAAUUCAUAUUUAUGUUUGCUCAUUCGAAUAGCCAGGACAUUAGAAAAAUCCAGCAAAAAGCAUGGAGGUCUCCUGGGAUUACAGUCUUUGUGUGCCUGGGCCCGGGACUGUGGCCAUGUUGAUGAGGAGAGAAAGAGAGUUGUGUUCCUCCAUGCUUCCCGCCACGCUCUGGACAAUGUAAACGAUGCACAGGGAGAGAUUUUCUUGUUUAAAUGAAAGGGUUGUAUUCUUAGUCUGCAUUCCACCACUCUUAAGAGCGCCCGAGGGGGAGGGCUAGGUGCUUGCCUGCAGUCUGGAGGAGGGUGACUGUUCUCCGCAAAGCAAAGCAAAGUACAGACAGUGACAAGUUCUGAGAAUUAUCUCAGAGCAUCAAGACUGGAGCCAUGACUUCACAAAGCAUCCCUUUUGGGAAGACUUUGUGACCAGGUGCACCGGAAAGGAUUCCAUAUGGCUCCAAGAGUCUGGUGGAGUUGGAUGCAUAGUUGAGUAGAACCCAAAGAUAUGAAAUAAUCCAUCCUUGGUUUCUUUCUGGAUGAUUAAUCCCUCCUCGAUAUCCAAGACCUGUCUUAUGAUUAAUUUAAGUUCUCCCACAACCAAAAGUCUGUGUCAAAUCCUUAAGAGUAACAGAGCCCCACGUCCCAUGUGAUUUAUUUAAGAAACAAAAGCAAAGAGGCUGUUAGGUCUCUUCCUUCAACUUCCCUGCUUGCCAAUAAUUUCAUACCAUUGAUUUCUUUCUCCUUUCCUGUGGUUUCUGAACAAAAUGCAACUCUCCCUUUUGACACUCUUCAACAGUGGACCCAGGGCAUUUAGUUGGAAUUCCGCAUUACCUCUUUCUAACUGGAGGGACUUCACAUGGACCUCCGAAUCCUCACCCUCUCCUUCCCGGACUUCUCCGUUCUCCCUUCCAACAUCCUUCAGUCUCCCUUCUUAAUAAGUAAGUAGACAAAUAAUUAAAAUAUUUCAGUGCUCUGCCAUAGCUCAUCUUAAAAUGAGUGUAAAUAUAAGACUAUUCUCAGGGUUUGCGGAGGAGUGAAUGAGUGAGUUAAAGCGUGUAGGAGAUCGUUGGCCCAAGGGACGUGUUCACCUCCUGUUAACUCAGAAUUUCAUGGGAAAUCUGUCUCAAUUAUACCGAUCCGUUUGUCUUUCUGUAUUUUUUUCUGUGCACACACACUUCCCUCCCGAGCACCCUCGUUUUUUGAGUCCUUCAUGACCAAUCUCGCUAAAGGAGCCUUCGAUCUCCACCCCCCAACAAAAGGACCUCACCUCUUAUGCACUGAAGGAGACUUUCAGGGGGUCUUUGGCCACACCCCCGCUGAGUGCUGAUGAUUCUGUAACUGGAUCACCUGUCCAGAGACCCCACCCCCUGCCCCCCACUCCACAAGCACCCCACCCAAAUGCUCUGCAGUGUUCUACCUAACAUCUCGGUUCUUCCUUUCCGUUAUUUUCAGAUUUGUAAUGGCAAUUUUGGUGUCUCCCCUUUUAAAUGACUUGCUCUCUGGUUGUUGAUGUGGCUCCUGUUGCGCCUUCCUAAUGACGAUAGAAACAGAAACUCAGGGCCAGAGAAAUUUGUUCCCCAUCUACCUUGUGAUGCUCAGUGUCCUCUGUGACUAUGUGUCCCCCUCUCUCUUCCUCACGUGACCUCACAGACUCCAUGGCUCCCUAGGGCUAUCUCUGCCCUGGGUUCCCAUUUCAUCUCAUCUCACUACAUCCAGCGAUCUCACCUGACGUGGUCCCCAGAAGCAUUCUGCUGUAGCCUCACUAUAGUUAAAAACAAAAACAAAAAAAAACAAAACAUAGUUUUCGCAUUUUGAUAUUUUCACCUACCAUCCCUCUUUGCAGCUUCUUUUGGGAAAUUGGAGCGUUGCACCACGCCAGACCUAUGUUUCCACGUGACCGCAGCCGGCUGGAGCUCGGAGCGUGGCUCCCAUCAUCAGGGCACCCCCAAGUUCAUUGUGACUCACAAGCACCUCCACUCUGCUAACUUCCAGGCCCCUCCAGGCAGUUCAGGCUGCCACUUCUAUCGUAGGAUCCCCAGAUAAGUUGUGACCUCAUGUAACAAGGACAGCCAAAAAAGAAAGGAAAAAGAAAAAAAAAAGAAAAAAAGAAAACCACUUUAGGCAUUCAUCAAUACUUGGUGGCAUGCUAGUUGGGAAUCAUCAUUCUAUAAGAAGGAUCGAGUUACACAGUGGGAAAAAAAAGUAUAAAAAAACCGAUGUUGUAGGCAAGGAAGGCAGGUCGAGAUCUGUUGGGACCGUUGGGGCAUGAGAUAGCGAGUACUGGAAUCCUGGGGCCAAGGUUUAGAAAUCCAGGCCACAGCGAAUCCAGACGACGCUGCCGAGGAAAGUUUGGGGACAGAUGAAACUAAAAUAAAAAUUUAAAAAAGCAGAUGCAAAACCUAAAAUAAAGCUACAGAAAGAGCUGGAGGGCUGCUGGUGCCACGGAUACAUACGUGGAGGCAGAGACUGGGGGGAUGUUGACGGUUCUGAAGAUGACGCGGAGUCCCAUUUUGGGCCUACUGAGUCAGAGGCCAGCAGACAGCUAAAUAGACUCGGUGCGGUGGGAGGGAAGACACGGCGCGGAGCGGGGAAGGUGGAUGGGAGCUGCGGCUUUAGGAGCUGCCCACAUUUGUGCGGUUUUCCAAAAGCUCUCUUGGAGGCCGAGAAGAAAGAGAAAUUAAAAGAGAGGAGUGGGAGGAAAAAGAGAACCCCUAAGAAGGAAAGAGUCAAGAGAGAAGUCGGAGAUGAAGCAGAGAAGUUAGGAGAUCGAGAUGAUAGAUUGACAUAGAAGGGACGUUUCUAGCAGGAGCCACUGAGCAAGGGAGAAUGUAUCUACGUAAUCUAUCUCCCUGAGACUCCUAGCCUUGGUUAGGAGAAGGUCGUUCAGUCAUUCAGUAAGUAGACACUGAGCAGCUGCAAUUUUCCAGGAAGCGUGCUGGGAAGAACCGUUCAACAUGGAGAUUGUAUCGAUCAGUAGAGCCUAGCUUUUGCUAUCACACAGACUCCCAAAUCUCUGUGGCUUAACAUCACAAAGGCUUGCUUCACACUCAUGCCGGGGGCUCUGAUCCCUGUCCUUCUCGGUCAUUCGGGCACCACACUGACAAAGCCGCCAUCCUUUGAAACAUGGCGACUGACGUGACAAAGAAAAUGUGCACCAGCCAUUGAAGCUUCUCCCGGAAUGUGAAGGCAAGUGGGGGGGCGGGGGUGUGUGCAUCUAACUUUGAGGGGCAGCAACGUACACUCCCAGCGCGCGUCGGCAGGGAUGCCAGCCGGAGCAUUCAUGCAUGGCCCCUGCUUACAACCGGAUAGGCAGAGCCCAGGGCAAGAUGAAAAUGCAGGUCCCGGGCCGGAGGCAGGGAAGUCCAUCACCUCCACACUCAGGCCCACCGCUCAAGUCGUGGUGGAGAGAUGAACCCCAAAAGAUGGUAACCUCUGCACCCGAUGGACUUGUUACCUGGGUCAGGGGCCGCCCCCCCAUCACAGCUUGGCGCUGCCGACUUGGAGAGGAAUGAUGUGGGGAUCUUCGUAACCCCACGAUUUGGGCCCGGGAACGGGAGAAUAUAGCUUACAACAGAUUAGCAGACUCAACCUAUACCGAGACCGUGCUAAGAGUGAAUGCUGUUGACAUUAUCAGCGAUUCCUGGAGGAGAAUUUCCUUCCUUUUCUUCCUUUUCUUUCUUUCCGGAAUUUAUUUGUUCCCCUGUAUACUUGGCUCUCCUUUUUCCCACUGCUGUUUAUCUCCCUGAAAUAGCUUUGCGUAUCGAACCAUAUUAAAUCCACUUACUUAUUGUUAGUUUAUCUCUGUUUGGUAUAUCAAAUGUUUAUUUAUAAGCCACUCAUGUCUCUAAAAUUUACCUGAUUGUUGCCUGUCUCUUCUGUUUGCUGGCGUGUAUCCGACUGGGCUGUGCAUAUAUUUGCUAUCCUCAGAUAAUAGAAGUCUCUUUGGUAAAUAUAACUAUUUAGAAGUCCUAAAGAAAGGUUUAGAAUACUUAAGAGGCAAAGAAAACAUUCCUCUGUGCCCAGAAAGUACCCUCUAAUGCCCAGAAAAAUGCAUCCCAUGUUGGCGUUGGCUGUGUUCAGGAACGAAGACCAGAUCUGGCAGUGAGUCCUUACGAGUAAGUUAAUCCUCUCUCCUAAACGUUUUCAAUAUCCUGAAGUCCCACUUACCACAAAUUGGUAAGUGUUAGUGCGCAUGUGAGGCUGUCUCCCCGGUAGGUCUGCAUUCCAUGACAGGUCCAGGAGAGGACGGAGUAACUGGUCCUCCUCAGUCAACACUGGCUCUCCAACACCUGACACAAUGCCCCGGAGACAGCAAGAGGCUCAGAACAUUCCUUGAGUGGAUGAUGAAUGCUUGGCCUCUCUGAACCGGGAUGCUUACUUCCCUCAUCUCUUGUAAAUUUACAUCUAGGAUUAUUCCGAUGUACCUGUCUGUGGUCUGUGGCUACACAAAGCAUCCUGUGAAGAGACACUCUGAGACGAGCCCUGGGAAGCCCAGCUUCGAGCCAGACGCACCUGUGCGUGCACUUGGCCUGGAGCAUUAUUAGCUGGGCUGUGUCAUGGGACCUCUCAACUCCAGGCCUUCAUCUGUUAAGUGGAAGUAGACAACUCACGGGUGUGUCAUGAAGAUAAAAUGAGGUGAUCAAGGCAACCUCUAGAGUACACAGUAGGCACUCCAUAAAUACCACCUGCCACUUCCACUGCCACCUGGUCAAGUUGUAUUUGUCAGCCACCAGCGUCAGCGUGUUGGAGACUUUGGGUGCAAAAUGGACAUCUCGGGGAACGCCUCCUGGCGUGCUGACUCUGUAAAUUCUUUUCACUGUUCCGUGGGGGCGUCAUCCCCAGAUGCCUGUGCCCCGGGACAGGCCGUCUCUGGGCUGGACACAAAACUGCUCUCACCCCAAGUCCCCCCGGCAUGGAGGUAGUAGGGAGGAGAUGUGAUUAUUCGGGCCUUCUGCUUCGAUUAUUUUGUGCCUGGGGUAUGUGUUUAUUUGCUGCAGUGAAUUCAGGAGCACUAUCAGCGCUCGCGUUCACUCAGUAAGAGUUACCGAGGUUUUCCACUUGGGCCCAGCAAUUUCUGAGUCUGGAUCAAGAGGCAGGAAGAGGCCUGGGUUGGGUUCCAGACCUGUAGCUGUCUUUCUUGCAUGCGGGAAGCAUUGGUGCUCAGUGGUUUGGCCCACAAGGAUGAAGCAUCCUUGCAGGCACCAAUUCUUAGGCAUUUCUGCCCCCCUCCCCCCACCCAUGUUAGCCUUCGUUAUUCAUUCACUGGCUUACACCGACUUACUCGUGCGACAAGUACGUUUGUGUCAACCAUUGGGCUACAGGUGGGGAUACAAGGUCUUUGCACUUACUGGAUCUUACCUUCUAGAAGAGAGGGAGGCCAUAAAUAUAUGCCUUAAUUUUAGGGACUGCUUGGUGCCAUGGCAGAAAAAAGUAAUGCAAGGCAAAGAAAUAGAAAACAAAGGGAGGGAAGUUGGGGGGGGGGGCGGGCAUACGAGUGUUUUCGUGAGGUCAUCAGAGCACAAUGAGCGAGGGAAUGAGUCACGUGAGAGGGAGGGCAGCGUGUUCCAGGCAAGAGAGUUGCAACAGCAAAGGCUGCUGGGAGGGCUGAAGGGGGAGGGAGACGGGGCGGCAGGGGCAUGAGUGAGGGGACAGUAACAGGAGAUGAGGCAGGUGGGAGACAGGGGCCUCCUCAUGCAGGACCUUUGCUACCAAAACAAAGAAUUUUAGGAUCACAGGGAAUGAGAGAACAAGGAAGGAAUGAUGGAUGUCUGUGGGACUGCCUGGGCUCGGUCCAGCCAGGGGCUACACGGCACAUUGCUGCUGUGACUGCCAGAGGAGCCGGAGCGGCUGUGGGGCCGGCAUCAUGGGACCAGCUAGCUACGCAGCCGUUCUGGACCUCAGUGUUCCCACCCAUAAGAUGGAGAUAAUGAUCGCUCUCCUUAAUGACUCUCAUCUGAAUUAAAUGUAUCUGGAUGCAUCAAGGAUGUAUCUGGAUGCACCAUGGUGGCUAUGUAGAAAUGACAUUACAUCCUAUCAUGUUGUUAUUAUUUUCAGAGGUUUUGUUGUUGCUGUUGUUUUUUCCAAAAUGACCAAAGAGAAAUGAAUGUGUAGGGAAGGAUGGGAGCCGCCCUAGGAUCCGGCCAUGUCUCACCUUGGGUUUACUGCUUGGCAAACCAUUCUUGCCAGAUAAUACCUUGCUUGGUAUAACCUGGAGGUUCCUGUCUUCAAUGUAAGUGUUUUUAAAAUAGAAAUACCAGCAUCUUCCCACAACCCACCUCUUUGGAGUGCCCCAGGCUCUUCCUUACUCCCCGACCUCAGGCUCAUUCAUCAUCUCUCAACUCCCACAGUCCCCCGGCCCACAACCCGUGCCCCUGCGCUGUGGCUGGUGCUCAUGCUGUUUGUCCAACUGGCCACGAGGGCCUCAUUACCCAAUUUUAGGAGCAACUGACCACGUCAAACAUGCUAUGAGUAGUGUCCCUGGCAGGUGCAGUACUGGAGAUCCUGCAUGCCUCUCUCCAGCACUUGGACGCCAGCCCCUUAUUCCCCGCUGUUGACUUUUACUCCUACAUAAGACCAUAGCUCCAGUCUCAUGUCUCAGGGAAUAUCCCCUGACCUCCAGAACGGACCCAGCCCCUCACAAUAGGCUCCCCUGCCCGUAAACCCCUUUGUAGCAUUAAUCGCAGUGGCAAUAUUCUUUUUUUCACGUGCUUAUAUAACUGAAGACAGUGUGCUCUGCUAGAGCAGGAACUCCUUUGGCCUGGAAGCCACAGCCAUUUGUUUCUUUGCUGUUUCCUCACCAUCACCAUUUCUGUGCAAGUACAGUUUUUGGCUAAGAUCGGCCAUGCCUGUUUGUUGAAUGAAUCAUCAACCUUCCAGGAAGCAUCUGUGUCUUUUGUAGAUCCUUUAACUGGUAGUUUUGUUACUCCAAAGCCCAGCAAGAAAAAGGCAAAAGAAUCCAUGCAAGACUGCCCCAUGAGAAGAAAACCAGAUCUUUUCCAAGAAAGCCAAGCUUCUGUGUGUUCACCAGUCUAGAGGGCAGAGUGUUGUUCAUCUCAGCUUCCUGUUCCCAGCAAAGAAUGAAAAGCCGGUGUCUCUGGUUGAGACUAUAAAGCCAGGGAAGUUGGGCUGUGACUUUAGACCAGACUCUUAUCUGGAGAGCUUCCAACACCGCAGUCAAGGCCACUGGUCACAUCCUGAGAUUGAGGUUUUAGCAGAUCUUUCCCAAGAUCACCAAUGAGGAUGCAGAUGCAGAUGUUUAUAUUUGCUGAGGUUUGUGGACUACUAUAAAAAGAAUACCCCGGAGUGGGGGGGCUUGAAUCACUGAAAUUUCUGGAGUCUGGAAUCCCAACAUGUGGUUGGGUUCUAGUGAGAGUUCUCUUUUUGGUUUCUUCACAUGGUAGAGACAGACAGAGGCAGAGGUGGGAAGAAAGGAGAAAGCUCUCCUAUGUGUCCUCCUAAAUGGGCAAUAAUCCCAUCGGGGGGCUCUACCCUUGCAACCUCCCAAAGACCCUACCCCAUAAAUCUAGCCCGUUGAGGGUUAGGGUUUCCACAUAUGAAUUUUGAGGGGACCGUCCUUAACACCUAGUUAAGGUGUUAACACCAUCCUCACUGCCAAGUGAGAUUUGUAGCCAAUGUCCUCCAUGCCUGCAAGAGGCAACAUGAGACAUCUAUCUCUUCCCUAUCAAGAAAGACUUGGAUUUACACAAAGUAACCUGGGUCAUUUGUCCACUCAGCAAAUACUUACCAAGCAACCACAAUGUGCCAGACCCUGUUCUAGGCACUGGGGAUUGGGAAGUGAAAAAGAUGGGCAAAAGUGCCCAUCCUCAGGGAGCUUUCUUGCUAGUGGCAGAGACAGUAGGUAACUAUAUAAGGUAAUCGGCUCAUGCUAAGGGCUGCUGAGCAUAUACCACAUGGUCAUGUGUUUGAGAACAGUACAAGGAGAAGGAAACAGCUUUAGAUUGAGUGAUGACCCUUAGGGAGAGCAGGGUUCCCAGAAGGAGGAGCAGCCGUUGUAAAGGUCAUGGAACCUAGUUAAUGGCAUUGAAAGGUCAUUUGGGCGUACAAACAGGUAUGCCCAUUUUAAAAAUCCGUAACCCUGACAAAAGGCAAAUACAUUCAGGGUAUCACUUGGAUUCUAAGUUGUUCUUUGUUCUCAUGUUUUGGCCAAGCAGUAAACAAAUUCAAUGUAGUUCUCCCUGCUUAAUCUCUUUCCAAGAUUUCCCGCAAUCCACUUGUCUCUCUAUUCCUGAAUAGCUGAAAUGGCAGCCAGAUAGGAUGAGAAAUAUGUAUUUUCAUGAAGUCAUGUCACACUCAACGUUACAGCAAGGCCACAUGGAAGAAUGACAGAAUUAUCACUCCCCUUUUAUCACUCAGGAGAAUUGUAAAAUUGUGUCGUUGUGGGGUUUGCUGUUGACCACAACGAUUUGAUCGGCACACUCAGAGAAUUUACAGUGCCUUUGUGGAGUAAAAUAAAUAUCCGGAUAAAAAACCCAAAUGCCUUUGAAGGCUUCGGCUACACUGAUAAAUGGUUCUUAUAAAGCAACAUAUUGAUAGUUUGAGGAUUAGUAAGGAAAGAUAUUGGGGAAAGAUUUUGUAAGAAACAAAUGGAUUUAAAUUUUAAAGAGGAAGGAUGGGAGGAAGGGAGGAAGAAGAGUUAAAACAUGACAAAACAGAAUUAUAGUGCCUUAUGUCAGGUUCACUAGAAGCAGAGCCUGAGGCAAGGAUUUGGGCAUGGGUGAUUUACUGAGUGAUUGCAGUAAAACCUGUAAGGGUGUGAGGGAAGCAAGACAAUAUUGAGGAAGGAUGUGGUCCCUGAUAAAGUCUAACUUUGGUCUGAAGCACAGAUGGAGGGCUCUGGAACUUAACGCCCAGUGGGUUUCUCCUCUUUAGAGACAAGGAGGAUGGAUUUUGUAUCCCAGUGUCAGUCAGACAUUGGCUAUGGGUGACAGGGAGGUGUCAUAACUUUUCAGGUAAGUUGGCACCUGCCAGAUUUUGAGGACAAUUCUGCAGGGGGGCAGCUGUGGGUGGCCAGCUGCCACCACUCACAAUAGCAGUGGUUGGCUGCACCAGUAGGGGAUCUUGGUGGGGAACUCGUAGAGUCUUCUGCACCAGAUUCUCCUUCAAAAAGGCCUCUCUUUUCACAAAAUAAAGAUCCAUCCAUUCAUUGAAUUAUUAACUCCUUUAUUCAAUGAAUUUUCUUGAGCACCUACUGUUUCCAAAAUUAGAGUUACAACAGUGAACAAAAUAGAUACGUUUCUAGCCAGGUACCACCAAACUUAAGCAAAUGAGAGAGACACCACCAAUCAAACCAUGGCAAGAAUGAAGGUAAGUUCUGUGGUAAGAGAGGUCAAGUUCUAUAGGACUUCUUAUUAGGACUCCUGAAUCUAGGGCAGACAGUCGAGAACAGUUUUGCCCAUCAUAGUAGCCAUGAGCCACAUACUGUUAUCCAGCACUUGAAAUGCCGCUAAUCCCAGUGAGAUACUCUGGAAAUAUAAAAUAUAUCUGGAAUUUCAAAGACUAA